AGUAAGGGUUAUUAAUUAGUUUAAUAGUUGUUAUCAAAGCUCACCGAUAGACUUGACAGAGACCAGACAAAGGUUAGGACAAUGUCAUUUAGGUGCUUGUCUUGUAGAGAGACUGAUAUGUGGGUCGGGACAGACAUUAGUAAUGUUAGUUUAGGCGUAGGCUAGAUACUCAGCCUAUAUAGAGUAGAGUUUGGGACAGUUGGGACACAGCGCCAUGUAGUGUUAGCAGGGGCGUGUGUCGUGUGCGAGGCGUUCUCUGGUGAACGACACAUACAGACAUUGGGAGCAAGUCGCCGAGGUUGGCUCGCGAUCUUGGCUCCAAGAGAUGUAAGUUGUUUGCCAGAGACAAACCAAUUCCUAGGGACCAGGAGUGACAGUCUUAGUGACAUUCUGACGGUCAGAGACGGUAGAUCUAUAUAUGAUGUAUCCUUGCCUGCUACGCAAGGGGAUAUCACUCUAGUAUUGAGCGGACUGUGACGUUGGGUUCCAGGAUCCGUGCAGAGACUAGAGAGAGAGAGAGAGAGAGAGAGAGAGA
rnacentral:sRNA from 1 species